UACGUAGGUGGCAAGCGUUGUCCGGAAUUAUUGGGCGUAAAGCGCGCGCAGGCGGCUAUCCAAGUCAGUGGUGAAAGCCCGGAGCUCAACUCCGGAACUGCCAUUGAAACUGUUUAGCUUGAGGAUGAGAGAGGUGAGUGGAAUUCCCAGUGUAGAGGUGAAAUUCGUAGAUAUUGGGAAGAACACCGGUGGCGAAGGCGGCUCACUGGCUCAUUACUGACGCUCAGGCGCGAUAGCGUGGUGAUCAAACAGG
rnacentral:rRNA from 1 species